UCCUUUUUCCGAAAAGAAUCUAUACAAUAUAUUUUUCUUGUCGUCCGCUGAUUUUGUCGUAUCUGCUCCAUUAUUGUUCUUUAUCUGCUCCAUUAUUGCUCUGUAUCUGCUCCAUUAUUGUUCUUUUAUUUUAUCUUUCCAGCUGGCAUUUUAUCUUCUUUAUUCUAGAUGUACCUCUGGAAUAAUAUUAUCUUCUCCAUUGCACCUCGAACAUUGGUGGUCUGGAUAUUUAUGUCCAAUUAUUUUACAGUAUCUUGUUAGCAAUCCUUCUGAAAUAAAUCCCUUUUUUAUUGCUCGCGCGGUAGAUUGUUUUUCUGGGUUAAGUAGCGUCAGUAUCCAUUGUCUUACGUCUUCCAUGUCUGCUUGGCGUAGCUCUUUUGAAUUU
rnacentral:lncRNA from 1 species